rnacentral:rRNA from 1 species
UGGGGAAUCUUGGACAAUGGGCGCAAGCCUGAUCCAGCCAUGCCGCGUGAGUGAAGAAGGCCCUAGGGUUGUAAAGCUCUUUCGGCGGGGACGAUAAUGACGGUACCCGCAGAAGAAGCCCCGGCUAACUCCAUGCCAGCAGCCGCGGUAAUACGGAGGGGGCUAGCGUUGUUCGGAAUUACUGGGCGUAAAGCGCACGUAGGCGGGUCGUUAAGUCGGGGGUGAAAUCCUGGGGCUCAACCUCAGAACUGCCUUCGAUACUGGCGACCUUGAGUACGGGAGAGGUGAGUGGAAUUCCCAGUGUAGAGGUGAAAUUCGUAGAUAUUGGGAAGAACACCAGUGGCGAAGGCGGCUCACUGGCCCGUAACUGACGCUGAGGUGCGAAAGCGUGGGGAGCAAACA